rnacentral:lncRNA from 10 species
GUCCAAGAGCAUCAAGGCAGUUUCUCUAUGAGUUUGCAAAAACCACAGCAUUGCUUGCUUGGAUUGUCCCCUAAAACAGAAACAGCUUAGGUCACAACAUCCAAGUCCUUUCAAAUAAAUGAAAAGCCUUCCCUAGAAGGACAGCUACAAAGAAGCCCAGAUAAUGAAGACUACAACUAAUAUCUAACUCUUUAAUGCCCAGACAGCAAAGAACAUCUACUAGCAUCAACACCAUUCAGGAAAAUAUGACCUCACCAAAUGAACUAAAUAAGGCACUGGGGACCAAUCCGGAGAAACAGAGAUAUGUGACCUUUCAGACAGAGAAUUCAAAAGAGCUGUGUUGAAUAUGAGAGUGAUCUGGCUGUGACAUCUGUCACCCCAUUGAUGUCCAGAAUUGAUUCACCUGAUCUGGCUGGCUAGGCAGGUGUCCCCUUACUCCCUCACUGCUCCAUGUACAUCCUUCCCAAAGCUGGGUGGUUGGUCAAAGAAGACGACAAUCUCCAAUAGAGGAGGACCUGUCUUUGGACAAGGGUAUAUCAGUAGCUGCAUUCCCCUGCUAGAACCUCCAAACAAGCUCUCAAAAUAGCUGUGUUGAGGAAACUCAAGAGAAUUCCAGAUAACACACGGAAGGAAUUCAAAAUUCUAUCAGAUAAAUUUAACAAACAGAUUGAAAUAUUUAAAAAGAAUCAAGCAGAAAUUCUUGAGCUGAAAAAUGCAAUUUGCAUAAUAAAGAACAUAUCAGUGUCCUUUAAUACCAAAAUGGAUCAAGCAGAAGAAAGAAUUAGUGAGUUUGAAGACAGGCUAUUUGAAAAUACACAGUCAGAGGAUUAAAAAAAGGAAGGAAAAAGAUGAAGCAUGCCUACAGGACAUAGAAAAUAACUCUAAGAGGCAAAUCUAAGAGUUAUCAGCCUGAAAGAAAAACUAGAGAAAGAGAUAGGGGUAGUAAUUUUAUUUAAAGAGAUAAUAACAGAAAACUUUCCAAACCUAGAGAAAGCUAUUAAUAUCCAAGCGCCAAAAGGUUACAGAACACCAAGCAGAUUUAAUCCAAAUGAUGCUCUCUCAAAGCAUUUAAUAAUUAAACUCCCAAAGGUCAAGGAUAAAGAAAGAAUCCUAUAAGCAGCAAGAGAAAAGAAAUGAAUAACAUAAAAUGCAGCUUCAAUACAUCUGGCAGCAGACUUUUCAGUGGAAACCUUGCUGGCCAGGAAAGAGUGGCAUGACAUAUUUAAAGUGCUGAAGGAAAAUAACCUUCAGCUUAGAAUAGUAUAUCUGGCUGAAAAUAUCCUUCAAACAUGAAGGAGAAAUACUUUCCCUGACAAACAAAAGCUGAGGGAUUUCAUCAAUACCAGACCCAUCCUACAAGAAAUGCUAAAGGGAGUACUUCUCCAAAAAGAAAAGGGCAUUAAUGAGUGAUAAAUAAUCACCUGAAGGUACAAAACUUACUGGUAAUAGUAAGUAUAUAGAAAAACACAGAAUAUUAUCAUCACACUGUAACUGUGGUGUAUGAAU